rnacentral:rRNA from 1 species
CAGUAGCCGCGGUAAUACGUAGGGUGCGAGCGUUAAUCGGAAUUACUGGGCGUAAAGCGUGCGCAGGCGGUUGUGCAAGACAGAUGUGAAAUCCCCGAGCUUAACUUGGGAACUGCAUUUGUGACUGCACGGCUAGAGUGUGUCAGAGGGGGGUAGAAUUCCACGUGUAGCAGUGAAAUGCGUAGAUAUGUGGAGGAAUACCGGUGGCGAAGGCAGCCCCCUGGGAUAACACUGACGCUCAUGCACGAAAGCGUGGGGAGCAAACAGGAUUAGAUACCCCAGUAGUCCCUGUCUCUUAUAC